rnacentral:rRNA from 1 species
GAUGAACGCUGGCGGCGUGCCUAAUACAUGCAAGUCGAGCGAACAGAUGAGGAGCUUGCUCCACUGACGUUAGCGGCGGACGGGUGAGUAACACGUGGAUAACCUACCUAUAAGACUGGGAUAACUUCGGGAAACCGGAGCUAAUACCGGAUAAUAUAUUGAACCGCAUGGUUCAAUAGUGAAAGACGGUUUUGCUGUCACUUAUAGAUGGAUCCGCGCCGCAUUAGCUAGUUGGUAAGGUAACGGCUUACCAAGGCAACGAUGCGUAGCCGACCUGUGAGGGUGAUCGCCCCCACUGGAACUGAGACACGGUCCAGACUCCUACGGGAGGCAGCAGUAGGGAAUCUUCCGCGAUGGGCGAAAGCCUGACGGAGCAACGCCGCGUGAGUGAUGAAGGUCUUCGGAUCGUAAAACUCUGUUAUUAGUGAAGAACAAAUGUGUAAGUAACUAUGCACGUCUUGACGGUACCUAAUCAGAAAGCCACGGCUAACUACGUG